AGCGAACGCUGGCGGCAGGCCUAACACAUGCAAGUCGAACGAACUCUUCGGAGUUAGUGGCGGACGGGUGAGUAACACGUGGGAACGUGCCUUUUGGUUCGGAAUAACUCAGGGAAACUUGUGCUAAUACCGAAUGUGCCCUUCGGGGGAAAGAUUUAUCGCCAUUAGAGCGGCCCGCGUCUGAUUAGCCAGUUGGUGAGGUAACGGCUCACCAAGGCGACGAUCAGUAGCUGGUCUGAGAGGAUGACCAGCCACACUGGGACUGAGACACGGCCCAGACUCCUACGGGAGGCAGCAGUGGGGAAUCUUGCGCAAUGGGCGAAAGCCUGACGCAGCCAUGCCGGGUGAAUGAUGAAGGUCUUAGGAUUGUAAAAUUCUUUCACCGGGGACGAUAAUGACGGUACCCGGAGAAGAAGCCCCGGCUAACUUCGUG
rnacentral:rRNA from 1 species